rnacentral:rRNA from 1 species
UGAGGAAUAUUGGUCAAUGGGCGAGAGCCUGAGCCAGCCAAGUAGCGUGCAGGAUGACGGCCCUAUGGGUUGUAAACUGCUUUUAUGUGGGGAUAAAGUGCGUGACGUGUCAUGCAUUGCAGGUACCACAUGAAUAAGGACCGGCUAAUUCCGUGCCAGCAGCCGCGGUAAUACGGAAGGUCCGGGCGUUAUCCGGAUUUAUUGGGUUUAAAGGGAGCGUAGGCUGUCUAUUAAGCGUGUUGUGAAAUUUACCGGCUCAACCGGUGGCUUGCAGCGCGAACUGGUCGACUUGAGUAUGCAGGAAGUAGGCGGAAUUCAUGGUGUAGCGGUGAAAUGCUUAGAUAUCAUGACGAACUCCGAUUGCGCAGGCAGCUUACUGUAGCAUAACUGACGCUGAUGCUCGAAAGUGCGGGUAUCAAACAGG